GAUGAACGCUGGCGGCGUGCCUAAUACAUGCAAGUCGAGCGAACGGACGAGAAGCUUGCUUCUCUGAUGUUAGCGGCGGACGGGUGAGUAACACGUGGAUAACCUACCUAUAAGACUGGGAUAACUUCGGGAAACCGGAGCUAAUACCGGAUAAUAUUUUGAACCGCAUGGUUCAAAAGUGAAAGGCGGUCUUGCUGUCACUUAUAGAUGGAUCCGCGCUGCAUUAGCUAGUUGGUAAGGUAACGGCUUACCAAGGCAACGAUGCAUAGCCGACCUGAGAGGGUGAUCGGCCACACUGGAACUGAGACACGGUCCAGACUCCUACGGGAGGCAGCAGUAGGGAAUCUUCCGCAAAGGGCGAAAGCCUGACGGAGCAACGCCGCGUGAGUGAUGAAGGUCUUCGGAUCGUAAAACUCUGUUAUUAGGGAAGAACAUAUGUGUAAGUAACUGUGCACAUCUUGACGGUACCUAAUCAGAAAGCCACGGCUAACUACGUG
rnacentral:rRNA from 1 species